UACAGAGGGGGCGAGCGUUGUUCGGAAUUACUGGGCGUAAAGGGCGCGUAGGCGGCCAACUAAGUCAGACGUGAAAUCCCUCGGCUCAACCGGGGAACUGCGUCUGAUACUGGAUGGCUUGAAUUCGGGAGAGGGAUGCGGAAUUCCAGGUGUAGCAGUGAAAUGCGUAGAUAUCUGGAGGAACACCGGUGGCGAAGGCGGCAUCCUGGACCGAGAUUGACGCUGAUGCGCGAAAGCCAGGGGAGCAAACGGG
rnacentral:rRNA from 1 species